rnacentral:lncRNA from 7 species
AUCUAUAUUUUGGUAGUAAAAAAACUCAACUCUACCCUUUGCGUGUUUUUAGAGUCUUCAUGGUUUCUUGGGUGCUUUGCUCUACUAUAUAACAUACUUUGGUGAUUUCAUUAUUCAUAAUUUAAUACUCUGGUCAACAUGAAUAUCAAAUGUGUUUAUUUCUUCAUGUUCUAGUUGACUUUCUCAUCGAUACAGAAUGAAUCAUAGACCUCUAAAAGAGGUCACACCUCAUUCACAUCAAUGGACUAUUGGAGUUAGGACUAUCAGGUUUUUUGAAUGCAAAAGAACAAUCACCUAGAGUUAGAAUAGAUUUUAUUCCCAUUGAUGGGUUGGUGCUCCAUUUCUAUGUUUGGUUAGUUAUUUAGUCACACAUAUCAUUUUUGCUUAUGCUUUGUAUUAAUUUGGACAAGGAAGCAUGUUAUAAUA